AAUAAAAAAAAGAUAAGGAUAAGUACUGGAUGGAUCGGUCCUCAACCCGAUCCAUCCAGACUCUUCACGCCGUGUGCGUCUCUCUCUCUCGCUCGCGAACUCUCUCUCUCUCUCCUGUUGCUUGCCACCGCUGCGCUGCUCCAGCCGCUGGCCGCCGCUGCGCCGCCCCCUGCUGCCACCUGCUGCGCUGCACAGCGCCGCACGUCGCCGCUGCUGCUGCUGUCGCCGGCGCUGCCGCUGCGCCGCCGUGCACGCGCCGCCGUGCGCCGCGCCGCUGCUCCGUUCCCGCCGCCGCCUGCCUGCGUCGUGCGCUUGCUCUGGCCGCCGCGGGCUCUCUCUCUCUCUCUCUCUGUGUGUGGCUUGAUCAAAGAAGAAGCAAGCAAGCAGAGCCGGCCGGGAGAGAAGCUAGGAAGAAGAAGCCAGGAAAGAGAAAGGAAAAAAAGGAGAAAAGAAAAGAAAAGAAAAGGAAAAGUUGGAAAUUUCGAGAUUUCGUCGGAUUCGUCGUCAAUUUUUCGAAGGCGAAUUCUCGGUGGUACUAUUUUCGGACGUUCUUGAUCGAAUUUUCUUCAUCGUCGGUAAAGGCAAGUGAAUGUAUUGUAUGACUAUGCUUUAACCUAAUAUUGGGUUGCCUACAUUCUUUAAUUACAGUGCAUUCAUCUAAUCUGAA